UAGGGAAUCUUCCACAAUGGACGAAAGUACUGAUGGAGGCAACGCCGCGUGAGUGAAGAAGGGUUUCGGCUCGUAAAACUCUGUUGUUAAAGAAGAACAUAUCUGAGAGUAACUGUUCAGGUAUUGACGGUAUUUAACCAGAAAGCCACGGCUAACUACGUGCCAG
rnacentral:rRNA from 1 species